UAUAGAGGCAUAUCUCCCUACAGUUCAUGCCUGGUUUCCCACUGAAGCUAAGCAGGGUUGAGCCCCCCCCCAGUACCUGGAUGGGAGACCUCCUGAGGAAAACUAAGGUUGCUGCUGGAA
rnacentral:rRNA from 1 species